rnacentral:tmRNA from 1 species
GGGGACGACCUGGCUUCGACAGGAAUAGUUUUGCAAUGAUGGCAUGUCGCUUUGGGCAAAGCGUAAAAAGCCUACUUAAAUUUAAACGCAAACAACGCGAAAUUUGCUCCUGCCUACGCUAGAGUUGCGUAGUCGUGGUUGAGCCUUGCUUUUUGAUGAUACUAUCUAGUUGAAAAAGCGAGUCAUUUUUUGAUAGUGUAGCUUGAUUUUUGACGAAUUUUAAGCCAAAUUUAGUCUUAGCUAGUUUGUGAAAUUUUAAAGGUGAGUUUAAACUAGUGAAAUUUUCAUCUUUGAUAAGCAUGUAGAGAUUGUUGUGGGAUUAUUUUUGGACAGGGGUUCAAUUCCCCUCGUCUCCACCA